GGCAGUGGUAGCUCAGUGGUUAAGCUCUUGGACUGCUGAUUGAAAGGUUGUGAGUUCAAAAUCCAGCACUGUUA